UUGUAAAGAAGAAUGAAAAGAAAUAAUACUAACAUGCAAAUAAAUUAGUUUGCAUAAAAAUCCUACACGCUUCAUUUUAAUGACUACUGAUCAGUUUUCAAUCUUUGAGCUACCGACCUGUUAGAUGACUUUUCACGUCGUGACUUUUGGAAACAGCUGGAACGAACAAGAAAAAAAAGCACUUGUUACAUUAGGUUUUCGAUUGAUAUGGAUGUUAUAAAUGGUAUAUUCUUCCCAAACAUAUUCAUCUCUUGACCGAUUUUACCACUGCACCAAGUCAUAGUAAUUCGUAUCCAACGUUUUUUAUACUAUAAUAAACAAUUUAAAAAAAUUUUGAAAAAAAAAAUGAAAUAUUGCUAGAAGUGACGACCUGUAAAACAUAAGACACGGAGUGUUCUGAGAAUAUAAUGAAAAAAUUAGUUUUUUAGUAACCCAUAAUAAAACAACAGAAGUUUUCAAUGGAACUUCCAGACUGACUUUAUUGUAUAUCAAUCACUAAAAGCAGGAUAAAAAUAAUUUACGUCUGCUUGAAAUCAGGGUUCUAUGAAAUUGGUUAUUAACCAAAAUGUGAAUAAGUUGUGAUAUAUGAAUUGAAUUAACCAGAAGACAUGAUAAUUUUUGUAUAGCAUAAUGCAUUACUGUGAAGUUUUGUUAAAUUUAGGAUAACAAGAAUUUUCAGACUGACGACUCAAGUAAAUAGUCUUGUAGCCAAGUACAAAAAAAGAAAUGUAUGAGUCAUUUAUAUAUUUAGUAACUACCUAUGUGAAUCAAAUAAUUAUUAACGGUAAAUAAUGUACUAAGUUGAUCCCUAGCAUUCAAUUGUUAGAGCAUGAGUAAGGUCUAUACAAUUUAUCGUUCGGUUUUACAGCGUAUCUACAAAGCAAAUAUUGAAUAAAUUGACAGUUUUGUUGUUGCCCAAGAAGAUCAUCACUAGCGCCUAAUUCGCAUACUUUAAGAGAAGCUUAGAUAAAUUACUAGAGAGCAAACUAAUGCUAAUUUCGGUUUUUCAGAUUUUACAGUACUCCAAAGGUUUGAUAUUUUGCAUAGUCUACAGAAACUACUCAUUUUUUCCCUUAUACGUAGCAACUCAUGAAUUUAAAGUCCGAAUAAAGGACUAUAUUUUUUUAACAUGUGCAACGGUCCUGAAAUUUUUUUUGAAAUGUUUUUUUCUUCUUUUUUUUCAAUGAAGUAUCAACGGAAAUACGGAUUCAAUAUCUGAUGUGUUAAUCUGUAUAAAAAAAAAAUUAGGCAGAUAACUAUAGUUUUUAAAAUAUUUUAAGUUUGGGAAAGUUAGUAGUUGUAGAUUUUUCUGCUUGCGACUAAGUUGAUAUCAGUGGAAUGCAUAUUUUUAACACUUCGUAAGUAUCUACGUGUCAUACCUCACUGCAAGAUUGUAAGAGAAUUUCGAUGAAUUCUUAUACGCCAGUUUUUCAAUUUGAUCUAAGGUUUCCUGUAUAGCUCGAAUUCAAAAAAAAAAUGGUGGUUACAAACGCAUCAGAUGGACUUCUUGUCGGCUGAUAAAUUCCUCAAACCCUUGAAUUUCUUCCAGAGUUCGUGUGUAUUUACCCAGGAAAAAAAACACCGUGUCGAAUUACGUUUUAAAAAAAAUAAAACCUUUUCAAUUAAAAUUUACUAGGACAUUCACACGGCGUCCCUGUUUUUACGAAAAUCGAAGUUGCUAUCUCACUAUCCUUUCCGUCAGCGCAUAAUGUCCGUAUACCCCGUUAGCUUCGCACAUUUUCCAACAACCAAACACACCAGAAAUUAGUGUUUUUACCGUAAGUUGUUGUUCGCUAUUUUUAUUGCUUCAUUUUGCGUGAUUUUUAAACACGUACUCGCGUAGGUUAAUAAUCAGUAACUUCAUGUUUUUAUGUUAUUCUGUCAAGCACAUAGAUUCUUGAAGUGGUUCAUGUCAGCCUUGCCUCGGAAAUCCGUAGUUAGACCCUCUACAUGUCUCUGAUUAAAUUUCUUCAUUAACUUGGAGCUUUAUAGUACGUCACGCAAGCGUUGCGUAGCUUUUCUUAGCAUUGAUUUUCUAUUUGUACAACUACUGAAAAUUGUGGGCGUCGUAAAGCUUCAAGAGUUUUGAAUAGUGACGCUGGAUCACGGUCAAAUAAGAGUUUUGUACGGUCUCCCUAGAUGCCUAACUUUAGGAAUAUGAGAAGUAUAAAGAAUUACUGAAAUGUUUUUUUGUGUAAUUAAAAUUAAAAAAAUAAUUCUAAUCAAAAAUUAAU